GACGUGUGCGGUCCACUGCGCAUGACACAGCGAGAAGUCCAUUGAACCUUAUCAUUUAGAGGAAGGAGAAGUCGUAACAAGGUUUCCGUAGGUGAACCUGCGGAAGGAUCAUUGUCGAGACACUUGGAUGAUCAGGCGACCUUGCAAAACCAUGAGGGCCUGCGUCAGAUGUUGUUCCUGCAGCAUUUGUACGAUUUUGGCCAUCCCAAGGAUUAAACAAGCAAGUUGGGUGCCGUAGGCACCAAGGGAUACGUAACAUCAUUGGUAGACUUGCUGCAGGUUGGCAAGCCUCUGAUAUGAUGGCUACUUAUAGCAUACGCUUUGAACUUUACAACUCUCGGCAACGGAUAUCUUGGCUCUCGCACCGAUGAAGAACGCAGCGAAAUGUGAUAUGUGGUGUGAAUUGCAGAAUCCCGUGAACCAUUGAGUAUUUGAACGCAAGUUGCGCUCGAGGCAGUCAGCCGAGGGCGUGCCUGCCUGGGCGUCUUUCGAUCUUUCGUUCCUCCCUGUAGAAGGCAUGUUGGCAUUGCGUGCGUGCUGCCUCCAGUGUGGAUGCGAUGGUGGCCCCUCAUGCAGACCGCAUGGUGGGUUAAAGAGCGGGUUUUGGUCGGCAAGUUCUUGGCAAUUUGUGGGUGGUGCAUUGGCCAAGCAUGGUCGAUGUUCGUGUCUAUUUGCCAGGGCAGCCGGCCGACUUAUGGUCCUGUUAAACCCAUAUGUUGCAUGGCCUUCCUCGAAUUGGCUAUGGGACGCGACCUCAGGUCAGGUGCGGCCACCCGCUGAGUUAAGCAUAUUA
rnacentral:rRNA from 1 species